GAUUCGCAUGGGCGAAAGCCUGACGGAGCAUNCCGCGUGAGGGAGGAAGGCUCUUGGGUUUCCAACCUCUUUUGUUAGGGAAGAAGAACUGACGGUACCUAACGAAUAAGCAUCGGCUAACNCCGUGCCAGCAGCCGCGGUAAUACGGAGGAUGCAAGCGUUAUCCGGAAUUAUUGGGCGUAAAGCGUCCGCAGGUGGUUAGACAAGUCUGCUGUUAAAGCGUGGAGCUUAACUCCAUAUCGGCGGUGGAAACUGUCUGACUAGAGUUCGGUAGGGGUCACGGGAAUUCCCAGUGUAGCGGUGAAAUGCGUAGAUAUUGGGAAGAACACCAGCGGCGAAAGCGCGUGACUGGGCCGAGACUGACACUCAUGGACGAAAGCUAGGGGAGCGAAAGGGAUUAGAUACCCCUGUAGUCCUAGCUGUAAACGAUGGGAACUAGGUGUUGACCGUAUCGACCCGGUCAGUGCCGUAGCUAACGCGUUAAGUUCCCCGCCUGGGGAGUACGCACGCAAGUGUGAAACUCAAAGAAAUUGACGGA
rnacentral:rRNA from 1 species